CAAAAACAUAGGUUUCUGCUAAGUCGCAAGACGAUGUAUAGGAGCUGACGCCUGCCCGGUGCUGGAAGGUUAAGGGGAUCUGUUAGAGCAAUCGAAGCAGUGAACUUAAGCCCCAGUAAACGGCGGCCGUAACUAUAACGGUCCUAAGGUAGCGAAAUUCCUUGUCGGGGAAGUUCCGACCCGCACGAAAGGCGUAACGAUUUGGGCACUGUCUCAACAACAGACUCGGUGAAAUUGUA
rnacentral:rRNA from 1 species